rnacentral:piRNA from 1 species
AGUCUGAGACUGAGCUGCAUGCGAGAUGGG